UUCAAAAUGGUAGAGGCAAUCCUAGUUGACCAAAUCUUAACUCAAUAUAAUUCAAACAAAAGGAAAAUUAAACAAUUGACAAUACUGGACUGACUAUCACUACAAAUAUUCAUAUGAACAUAGGCCGGAAAUACUACUUCAUUUCAUUCCAGUUGAGGUUACACCAAUGAAUUCGAGCGUGUACCUAGUGUUGAAAAUACAAGAAAGGAAGAUGAGAAUUAGCAGCAGUAGUAAGCAACACAGCAACAACAACAAACAGAGCCGAGUUCAAGACCAAACAACAGCUUAUUUUCCUCUCAAACUAUUGAACUCUUAGUGUUAAAAAUUCCCCCUCGAAGUGUCUCCUGUUUUUUUA
rnacentral:lncRNA from 1 species